UUUAAAGAGAGUUUGAUCCUGGCUCAGGACGAACGCUGGCGGCGUGCCUAAUACAUGCAAGUCGAACGAACGGAGGAAGAGCUUGCUCUUCCAAUGUUAGUGGCGGACGGGUGAGUAACACGUGGGCAACCUGCCUGUAAGUUGGGGAUAACUCCGGGAAACCGGGGCUAAUACCGAAUGAUAAGAUGUGGCGCAUGCCACGCCUUUGAAAGAUGGUUUCGGCUAUCGCUUACAGAUGGGCCCGCGGUGCAUUAGCUAGUUGGUAGGGUAAUGGCCUACCAAGGCAACGAUGCAUAGCCGACCUGAGAGGGUGAUCGGCCACACUGGGACUGAGACACGGCCCAGACUCCUACGGGAGGCAGCAGUAGGGAAUCUUCCGCAAUGGACGAAAGUCUGACGGAGCAACGCCGCGUGUAUGAAGAAGGUUUUCGGAUCGUAAAGUACUGUUGUUAGAGAAGAA
rnacentral:rRNA from 1 species